rnacentral:lncRNA from 1 species
UAAAAGUAAAAUCAUGAUGUUCAGACAUAAUUUCCCCAAAACAGGUAUCUAAAAUGUUAAACUUUAAUCAUCCUGUUGGCACAGUUGGCAGCAUGUCAGUCUUAUAAAAUGUUAAACUUUAAUACAAUCUGAUGAUCCUCCGAUGUUACUAUUUAAUGUUGUAGUUUAUGCUUAUGUUCAUAAGAAAAUAUGGCAAUGUCAAAUAUUGUUCUCAUUUACCAUUAGAAUGUUUCUGUCAUCCUUCAAGAGGUCUGAAUAGAUCAUGGAACCAUGUUCAAGGGCUGCUGUAUUAAUGAAAGAAGUACAUGAUCAUCCCAAUAGAUGCAGAAAGAGAAUGUGACAAAAUUCGACUGCCAUUCAUGAUAAAAACUCUCAGAAAACUAGGACUAGAAGGGAACUUCCUCAACCUGACAAAGCAUCUCUACAAAAAACCUGUCAGUAACAUCACAUUUGAUGAUAAAAGAGAAAAAGAGUGUUUUUCUGGCCGGGCACAAUGGCUCACACCUGUAAUCCCAGGACUUUGGGAGCCUGAGGUGGGCGGAUCAUGAGGUCAGGAGUUCGAGACCCGCCUUACCAACAUGGUAAAACCCCGUCUCUACUAAAAAUACAAAAAAGUUAGCCGGGUGUGGUGGUGCAUGCCCGUAAUCCCAGCUACUCUGGAGGCUGAGGCAGAACUGCUUGAACCCAGAAGGUGGAGGUUGCAGUGAGCCAAGAUCACACCACUGAACUCCAGCCUGGGCUGACAAAGCAAGACUCCAUCUCAAAAAAGAAAAAAAGAAAAAAACAAACAAACAAACAGAGUGCUUUUCCUCUAAUGUUGGGAACACGGCAAGGAAGUCCACUCACUACUCAUAUUUAACAUACUGGAUGUCUUGGCUAAUGCAAAAAGGCAAGAACAAGAAAUAAAAAACUUAUGGCGUGGGAAGGAAGAAAUAAAACUGUGUUUAUUUGCAGAUGACAUAAUUGACUUUGUAGAAAAUUUCAAGGAAUCUUCAGAAAAGGUACUAGAACUAAUGAGUGAGUUUAGCAAGGUAACAGGAUAUAAGGUCAACAUGCAAAUAUAAUUAUAUUUCUGUAACUAGGAAUGAGUAAUUAGAAACUGAAAUCAAAAUAGCACCAAAAAAUGAAAUAGAACCAAAAAUGAGAUUUUCAAAUAUAAAUCUAACAAACUAUGUGUAGGAUCUGUAUGCUUGCAACUGCAAAACUCUAAUGAAAGAAAUAAAAAAUGAGCCGGGCAUGGUGGCUCAUGCCUGUAAUCCCAGCACUUUGGGAGGCUGAGGCGGGUGGAUCCCGAGGUCAGGAGUUCAAGAUCAGCCUGACCAACAUGGUGAAACCCUGUCUCUACUAAAAAUACAAAAAUUAGCCAGGCAUGGUGGUUUGCGCCUGUUGUCCCAGCUACUCAGGAGGCUGAGGCAGGAAAAGCGCUUGAACCCGGGAGGCGGAGGUUGCAGUGAGCCGAGAUCGCACCACUGCACUCCAGCCUGGGCAACAGAGCAAGACUCCAUCUCCAAAAAAAAAAAAAAAAGAAAGAAAGAACACAAAAUAGAUUUUAGACCUAAAUAGAUAUAAAACCUGAAACUAUAAAACUCUUCAGAGAAAACAGAAGAAAAUUGUUGUGAUCUUUGGUUAGGCAAAGAUUUUUUAGAUAUGACAAUCCAUAAAAGAAAAAAGCUAUUAAAUUGUCAAAACUGGAAACAACCGAAAUAUUCUUCAGUUGGGUAAUGUAUAAACAAAUUUUGGUACAUCUGUAUGGUGGAAUACAUACAACCACAUGGAUGGAUUUCAGAUGUAGUAUACUAAGUGAAAGAAGCUAGCCUCAAAAGGCUACAUCUUAUAUGAUUCCAUUAUAUGACAUUCUGGAAAAGGUGACAGUCUAGUGACAGAGAACAGAUCUGGAAAAGGUGACAGUCUAGUGACAGAGAACAGAUCAGUGGUAAGACUGGGGGAAUGGUUUGACUAGAAAGCAGUAAAAUGAAGGAAUUUGGAAGGAAGGAUGAUCAACUGUUUUGUAUUGUGGUGGUUACAUGACUGUACAUUUGUCAAAACUAGUACCCUAAAAAGGGCAACUUUCACUACUAUACGUAAAUUAUACUUCAACUUUAAAAAAGCUGCUACAAAAGGAUAAAUUAAAGUAGAAUUGCUGAGUAAAAUGGUAAGCAUAUUUUUAUUCAAAUGUCAAACUGCUUUCCAGGAAGAUGGUCCAAUUUAGAUCGUCUUUCCCCAUCCUUGCAGGAGACGGAUUGGGCAGCAAUGGGCUUGUCAAUCAUUUUAACCUUUGCCAAACUGAUAAGUGAAAAGUGUAUCUUGAUAUUGUUUGAUUUUCAUUAAAAAAAUUUUAAGUGAAGCCAAACAUAUUUCACAUAUUAGGUAAUCAUGAGUACUCUUUAUUUUUCUGAAUUGUCUGUUAAUGUUUUUUGUUUCUAUUAAGGUGUUAAUUCAUUUCCUGUUUAAUUUAUAAGCAACUUUUGUU